GAAGCCAACGGUUGCGGCGCGGGUUCGUGGAGCCGGUCUUGGCACCGACAACCCAAACGAAGAGUAGGACCAGAGCAAUGUGAUGAGUGAUUUACCUUCUAAUUCUCAUAUAUGGUCUUCAUAGUUCAAUCUGAGAGGAACAGAACAAUUAACUCGAGUUUCUACAGAUGCUGGAAAUCUUGAGCAACAUUCACAAAAUGCUGGAGAAACUUGGCAGGUGCUGGCAGCCCCAGGUCCAUCACACGAAUGGAAAAUUGUCAUCUGGAGAGUGAGUAAAGUCCAAAGUUCAAAAUGCUGCCUGACUUUUUCGUCCCCCCAUUCGUGACAUUUACCAGGAGCAUUGUAUACAAAGGGCCUGAAGCAUUAUUGAAGGUUUCAUCCACCCAUUCCACAAUCUCUUUGAGCCACUACCGGCAGGAAGAAGGUACAGGAGCAUCAGGACGAGAACUGCCAGACUGGGUAACAGCCUCUUCUCCCAGGCAGUAUGACUAAUAAAUACCCUGCCACCACUGAGGUCACAUCACUAGGACAGCAAACUGUUUACUGUUUACUUGUGCUAUGCACUUCACAUGCAUUUUGAAUUAUAGUCCCUUAACUUAUGUGUGGUAAUACUUCAUUUUAUGUGCUGUGUGUGAUACAUGUAUUGUGGGUGCUCCAUGGCCUGGAGGAACAUUGUUUUGUUUGGUUGUAUAUACAUACAGUCAGAUGAUAAUUAACCUGAAUUUGAACUUGGACUUGAGUUCCUCAAGCAUUUCAGUGUGGACAGACAGUCAAAACGAAGAGAAAAAGCUUCGUUUUCAAAAUUAUUCAGUGUAGUGUGGAUGUACUCUUAGCCUCUACUGAGUUCAGUAGUGAGUAAGGUCACAUUGAGUUGAGUUCCUCCAGCAAUUUGUUAGUGUUGUACACAGCAUCUGUUCGGUUUCCUUUCAGGUAAAUUAGGUCAAAAUGUUUCUUAUUGUCUUUGUAAUGUUUCUGAUGGGUGGUUGGGUGGGGAUAUAUCUCUACCAAAGGAGGUGUAAGGCACUCCUUCCCUCCGCUAGCCUGCAGGACACCCUUGGGUAAGGUGUAGCACCUGCUUAGCACCCUCCUCCCCCCCGGAUCAGGAUCAUCUGAAACCACGGGAGCAGGUGGUGGAUGGUCGUAUGAGCAGCUGGUGCAUAUCACAAGUCCUGGUGAUGCAACCACUGACGCCAGGCAGACAGUCUCUGGAGUAUUGAUAAGAGCUGGGGUCACCCGUCUUGUAAAGACACUGCCCAGAAGAAGGCAACGGCAAACCACUUCGGUAGAAAAAUUUACCAAGAAAAAUCAUGGCCGUGGAUAGACCAUGAUCGCCCACGUCAAACGAUUUGGCACAUAAUGAUGAUGAGUAUUUCUGAAAUAGAUUACCCUGUGUUAACUGGUGAUGUCUACAAUUAGUUCUGAUCUGCUCUAUUCACUUUCGCUCUACUUUUUCAAUGUUAUGUUAUCUUUCUUGCAGGUAGCUGACCAGAGCUACACAAAACACUCCAAAUUUGGCCUCACAGAUGUUACAGAGUCAUAGAGUUCUAGAAAAGUACAGCGCAGAAUCAGACCUUUUUGCCCAACCAAACCAUUUAAACUGCCUACCCCCAUCGAUUUGAACCUGGACCAUAGCCCUCCAAACCCCUCCCAUCCAUGUAUCUAUCCAAACUUCACCUAAACAUUGAGAUCAAGCUUGUAUGCACCAUUUGCGCUGGCAGCUUGUUCCAAUCUCUGACAACCCUCUGAGUGAAGAAGAUACCCCUUAAAUUUUUCACCUUUCACCCAUAAACCAUGACCUCUGGUUGUAGUCCCACCCAACCUCAGUGGAAAAAGCCUGCUUGCAUUUAUCCUAUCUAUAGCCCUCAUAAUUUUGUAUACCGUUGUCAAAUCUCAUCUCUGUCUUCUAUGUUCCAAGGAAUAUAAUAUUUUAUACAACUUCAGCAUAACAUCCCAACUCCAGUACUCAAUGCCCUCAUUUAUAAAGGACAAUGUGCCAAAAGCUCUCUUUACAACCCUAUAUAUUUGUGAUGCCACUUACACUAAAUUAUGUGUGUGUAUUUCUAGGUCCCUUUGUUCUACUGUUGACCUCAGUGCCCUGCCAUUCACUAUGUAAUUCCUGCUAUGGGUUUUCCUGCCAAAGUGCAACAGCUCAGUCUUCACUGCAUUAAAUUCUGAGUUACUUCAGUAUCUUGUGUGCGUUGUUCAACCCCAUCUGUUCGGUUUUCCAACUGAUAAAUUAGGUGGAAAAUCUUAUUUUUGUCUUUGGUGUAUUUCUGGAAUAGAUUACUUUGUGUUACCUGACGCAAGACCAGUGACAUCUGUAGUGAAUGCCUGAUCUGCCCCAUUUUCCCUGCACGUCAAGAGCACAAAGUUCACACAUUAUUUGCACAUUCCUCUCACAUUACUGAGCGGAAUGAGUUUGCGUUAGUUGUUAAAGUGCACAAUGCUCUUCCCUCUAUUUACACCUUAAAAAUAAGCAGGAGAUAUACUUAGGCUAUGUCCACACUACACCGGAAAAUUUUGAAAACGCCAGUUUCAAGUAAAAACGACAGGUGUCCACACUAAGCAUUUUUCAAGAUAUCUCUGUCCACAUUAGAUGGAUAUUUGGGCAAAUCUCCUCCUACUGUGCAUGCGCAGGACACACACAGCAAACAAGCGAAGAGGAAAUGGUAUACUUGGUGCGCGUUUAUCCAGUUGCAGAGUAGAAAAACUUGAAAGAAAUUGCUCUUGGCUCUCGCGCAGGAGGACUUAAAACUAAAAAAAAAUGAAUACUGGAGAUUAUGGAGGCAACCGACAGGGAGUUCACGGACAGUAUGACCCGGCUGACGACGAACAUUGAAAAACUGAUGCACUCUGUUGCAUUAAUAAAACACCUUGUUAAAUGUAUAAAACAUGGCUGCAUCAGUGUUAUCUUGUAUUUCCAUAUAAUAUUACAUUAGGCUGUUACACAUCUAUUGUCAGAGAAGUACUUGCAUAAAUAGGUAAACCACCUUGGUUCUUGGUUCUUGGUUCAUUAUCCCCCAAAAUAUUCUGCAUGGAAUUUAAACUGGAGG